UACGGAGGGUGCUAGCGUUGUUCGGAAUUACUGGGCGUAAAGCGCGUGUAGGCGGCCGAUUAAGUCUGGUGUGAAAGCCCGGGGCUCACCCCCGGAAGUGCGCUGGAAACUGGUCGGCUAGAGUAUGGGAGAGGAAAGUGGAAUUCCCGGUGUAACGGUGAAAUGCGUAGAUAUCGGGAGGAACACCAGCGGCGAAGGCGGCUUUCUGGACCAAUACUGACGCUGAGACGCGAAAGCGUGGGGAGCAAACAGG
rnacentral:rRNA from 1 species